CGGGUCAGUCACACGUGUAUCACCUACCUAUGAGACUGGGAUAUCUUCGGGAAACCGGAGCUAAUACCGGACAAUAUUUUGAACCGCAUGUCUCAAAAGUAAAAGACGGUCUUGCUGUCACUUAUAGAUGGCCCCCCGCUGCAUUAGCAAGUUGGGAAGGUAACGGCCUCCCAAGGCAACAAUGCAUAGCCAACCUGGGAGGGUGAUCGGCCACCCUGGACCUGAAACACGCCCCAGACUCCUACGGGAGCCGGCAGUAGGAAAUUUUCCGCAAUGGCCAAAAGCCUGAGGAAGCACCGCGCCGUGAGUAAUGAGGGUUUUCGAAUCGUAAAACUCUUUUAUAAGGAAAAAACAUUUCUGUUAGAAAUUGGGCACAUCUUGACGGUACCUAAUCAGAAAGCCACGGCUAACUACGUGCCAGCAGCCGCGGUAAUACGUAGGUGGCAAGCGUUAUCCGGAAUUAUUGGGCGUAAAGGGCUGGUAGGCGGUUUUUUAAGUCUGAUGUGAAAGCCCACGGCUCAACCGGGGAGGGUCAUUGGAAACUGGGAAACUUGAGUGCAGAAGAGGAGAGUGGAAUUCCCCGUGUAGCGGUGAAAUGCGUAGAGAUUUGGAAGAACACCAGUGGCAAAGGCGAAUUUCUCCUCUGUAACUGACCCUGAGGUGCGAAGGCGUGGGGACCAAACAGGUUUUGAUCCCCGGGUUCUCCCCCCCCUAAACGAUGAGUCCGAAGUGUUGGGGGUUUUCCCCCCCUUAUUGCCGCAGCUACCGCUUUAAGCCCCCCCCCUGGGGGGUAGGUCCGCAAGGUUGUAACUCAAAAGAAUUGACGGGGACCC
rnacentral:rRNA from 1 species